GGCAGGGCCGUGAGGUGCCGCUGACCCGGGCACCGCGGCGGGCAGCGCUCCCCCGCCCGGCGCCGCGCCGAGGCCGCCUGAGGACAGCCCCAGCCCAACGGUGUUUUGGACUAGAGCCGUGUUCCGAGCACCCUGCCAUCGCCAACAGCCGGCUCAGCGCUCCUGGUGCAGCGUUUUCAGAAGCGUGUUCUUCGAAGGGAAAAACCCAGGAUCUUGGUUUUUCCGGAGGUGCCAGCAAACUUUGCCAUCUGCUGAGAGAGCAUCCAGUGGUCCUGGCACGCACAGAAAGAUGUGCUUUCUCUUUUAUGGUUCAAAUUAAGUGGUUAUGUGGGAUAAGCUGAGAGCUUGACAAAAGAGAACUUCCAGCCACUCGCCGUGCUGCAGCCUGGCAUCUUCACUGGGCUUUGGCAGCUUGUGACAAGCUUCUAAAAGCAGGAGCCCUCACCCUGACCCCAGGUCCAGCAGGAUCCAUCCCUGCUCCCUGUGUGCGACAGCUUCCAAGGCC